UCCGUAGGUGGAUAAUUAAGUCAGAGGUGAAAUCCUGCAGCUCAACUGUAGAAUUGCCUUUGAUACUGGUUAUCUUGAGUCAUUAUGAAGUGGUUAGAAUGUGUAGUGUAGCGGUGAAACGCAUAGAUAUUACACAGAAUACCGAUUGCGAAGGCAGAUCACUAAUAAUGUACUGACACUGAGGGACGAAAGCGUGGGGAGCGAACAGGAUUAGAUACCCUGGUAGUC
rnacentral:rRNA from 1 species